rnacentral:rRNA from 1 species
UACGUAGGGGGCUAGCGUUGUCCGGAAUCAUUGGGCGUAAAGCGCGCGUAGGCGGCCCGGUAAGUCCGCUCUGAAAGUCCAGGGCUCAACCCUGGAAAGCGGGUGGAUACUGCCGGGCUAGAAUCCGGAAGAGGCGAGUGGAAUUCCUGGUGUAGCGGUGGAAUGCGCAGAUAUCAGGAGGAACACCGGUGGCGAAGGCGGGUCUCUGGACCGAUACUGACGCUAAGGCGCGAAAGCGUGGGGAGCGAACAGG